rnacentral:rRNA from 1 species
UAGGGAAUCUUCGGCAAUGGACGAAAGUCUGACCGAGCAACGCCGCGUGAGUGAAGAAGGUUUUCGGAUCGUAAAACUCUGUUGGUAGAGAAGAAACGUUGGUGAGAGUGGAAAGCUCAUCAAGUGACGGUAACUACCCAGAAAGGGACGGCUAACUACGUGCCAA